AAUCGAAGCAGUGAACUUAAGCCCCAGUAAACGGCGGCCGUAACUAUAACGGUCCUAAGGUAGCGAAAUUCCUUGUCGGGUAAGUUCCGACCCGCACGAAAGGCGUAACGAUUUGGGCACUGUCUCAACAACAGACUCGGUGAAAUUGUAAUUCCGGUGAAGAUGCCGGAUACCUGCGACAGGACGGAAAGACCCCAUGGAGCUUUACUGUAGCUUGACAUUGGGUCUUGGUACUACAUGUACAGGAUAGGUGGGAGGCUUUGAAACCAGGACGCCAGUUUUGGCGGAGCCAUCCUUGGGAUACCACCCUUGUAGUACUGGGACUCUAACCAUAGGCCAUGAAUCUGGUCUUGGGACACUGUCAGGUGGGCAGUUUGACUGGGGCGGUCGCCUCCCAAAAGGUAACGGAGGCGCUCAAAGGUUCUCUCAGUACGGUCGGAAAUCGUACGUAGAGUGUAAAGGCAAAAGAGAGCUUGAUUGCAAGACAUACAGGUCGAGCAAGGAUGAAAAUCGGACUUAGUGAUCCGGUGGUUCUGCGUGGAAGGGCCAUCGCUCAACGGAUAAAAGCUACCCUGGGGAUAACAGGCUUAUCUCCCCCAAGAGUCCACAUCGACGGGGAGGUUUGGCACCUCGAUGUCGGCUCAUCACAUCCUGGGGCUGUAGUAGGUCCCAAGGGUUGGGCUGUUCGCCCAUUAAAGUGGUACGCGAGCUGGGUUCAGAACGUCGUGAGACAGUUCGGUCCCUAUCCGUCGCAGGCGUAGGAAAUUUGAGAAGACCUGUCCUUAGUACGAGAGGACCGGGAUGGACGUACCUCUGGUGUACCAGUUGUCCUGCCAAGGGCAUGGCUGGGUAGCUAUGUACGGAAUGGAUAAGCGCUGAAAGCAUCUAAGCGCGAAGCCAACUUCAAGAUAAGAUUUCCCACCGCAAGGGUAAGACCCCAGAAAGACUAUCUGGUUGAUAGGUCGAAGGUGUAAGUGCAGCAAUGUAUUUAGCUUAUCGAUACUAAUAG
rnacentral:rRNA from 1 species